rnacentral:tRNA from 1 species
GAGCGAGUGCAGUGAAGCCUUCUGACUUUUAAUCAGAGGGUCCUGGGUUCGAGUCCCAGCGCGCUCA